GGUUGUGGCUUAGUGGUAGAGAGCUCGCCUAACAUGUGUGAGGCCAUAGGUUCAAUCCUUAGCACCA
rnacentral:tRNA from 1 species